UACUUUCUUUGAUUUUUUUUAUUGACCAUCUAUUGAUUCCGCGUGUACGAGCUUGUGCGCCUCCAAAAUCUCUGUGUGGAGCAAAGCAAGGAUAGGGUUUCUCGAGAGCUUAGUUUACCGACUAAUGCCUGCCCCCUGACGGCCACGUCCGUUGGACCUGCAUGAAGACAUAUCCAUGAGAGAACUAACGACACUGUGUCUAGAAAGUUGAAGACAUUUCCCAUUGGUUGCCUGCGCCUGUAACCCACAGCAUCAAAGCGGCUGCGAUAAUGAGAGCGGGAGACAGCGCUGAGGAAGACUGGAGAUGAUAUCUUGAUAAUCCAGAGAAGAGGCUCAAAGAAAGCCGCAGCUGGAGACAGCAUGGAGCCCUGCCUGAGGUGGCUUUCCUGACAGCGUGUGGUCUGCAAAAUGAUCCUUUUCAUCAAGGGGCGGCUAUGACCUGACCAGUGUUAAAGCAUGCUGCUGGCUAGAUCUGUCCAGGAGCAAGGAGUAACACACUGUGAAGGGAAUUCCCAUAUGAAUGAUGUCACCUCCCCAAAAAGGGCGCAUUUCUCAUGUGUCGAUCAGACUGCAAGUCUAGAAUACACAAAAGAAAAAAAUCAUCUGUUUAGUUUAAUCGUAAAUGUACUGGUAAUUGGCAUUGCUACAUUCAAGAAUCGUGUUGCAGUCAUUACUAGAAUAAGCUUUUAAAGGACAUUUUUUAAAAAGCGUUCCAAACCAGUUGGACACCCCUACAUUUCUAUCUUAGCGCUAUGGCACCUUCACAACAAGUCUCAACACUAAUUGUUUGUUAUCUUAAAGAGCUAAAUGUGCAGCUGGAUUUUGAAUUGUGGAGGGUAUCAGACAAAUCAUCAGCACAAGCGUGAAACGUUCAAGAAACCUCUGCUGAUCCCAACAAACCCAGAUAACCUCCACGAAGAAUAGCUGUGUGUGACCCCCCCACCCUCCUCGUACACUGCCCUGAACGUGUUGGACGUUUACAUUCUUAGCACACAGUGUGAGGCCAGUUUGGACCCUGCAGAGAGCUUAACUAUUAUCUAUACUGUACUAUACCCGGCACUACGAAAAAAAGGGAUACAAAAUAAAUUUGUUCAGGCAGCACACGUCUGAAUAUAUUACACUUUGGCUUCUAGAUUCAAAGAUCAUCAAUCCCUGCAAAUGUGUUACACAUAAAAACCGGGGAGUGAUGAGUAAAUAUCCCCCUCAGAGCUUAUAGCUGGAUGUUUGGGGAUGAAGGGCCAGGGCAGCAGUGGCAUUUGUAUUUCAGGUAUUGCAGCUUUGUAUUUAAAUAAAAAAUCCUCUGCGUGAUCUUGAACUCUGUGUUGACUAAAUGUACACGACAAGUCAUUUAUCAAAAAGUACUCAUUAUGGCCUGAAUCUUGAUUAUGUCUAAUGGAAGACUUACCCCCCCCUUUUUUUUAGUGACCUAGACCCAUCUCUGAGAACUUGUUACUCACACAAAAACGGUGGUGUGCACCCUCUUAAUGAAAACAGAAAACAACCCUUUCAACAGAAAUUGAAAGUGUUGCACAAUCUUGCAGAUCAAUUCUAGUAUUGCUGAAGCCGUGACUACCUCCAGACACUUUUCUUUCUCAAGAGGAAUAAAACUCAACGUGACAUCCACCAAGGAGAUUUUGCUUUGUGUGGAAACAUACACACAGCAGGAAAACGAGUGACCUUUGGCACUUAUCACAAAGACACUUAAUACUUUUGAUGGACAGGUUUGCAAAGUGCAAGGCAACGUGAUGAAAUCAUUGUGCAACAGUUACAUAAGGUUUAAUAGUAACGCUCUUAGGUUAGGGAUCACAUUUAGACAUGACAGAUGACUGAUGUCAGGCGCAGAGGUCUAGCUCACUUGAUCUGCAGAGCUUUCUACACAUACACACGUUUGUGCAGGUGAUUUGUCGUAUAUCCAUCUAGGAUUUAAAAUCCAGCAGCUCACAGACGAUAACAGACAGCUUUGGUGUUGUCUCAUUGUAAAAGUGACAUAACAGCAAAGUGCAGAUGCCAUAGCUUGUUUCCAGUUCAUGUAGCCGGUGUGCAUGAAUAUUGAAUACAAUUAAGCAGUUGGUGCUAUUAUUAUGUAUACAUAUG